rnacentral:rRNA from 1 species
UACGGAGGGCGCAAGCGUUGUUCGGAAUCACUGGGCGUAAAGCGCGUGUAGGCUGAUCGGAAAGUCGGGCGUGAAAUCCCUGGGCUCAACCCAGGAACUGCACUCGAAACUAUCGAUCUUGAGUGAUGGAGAGGGAAGUGGAAUUCUCGGUGUAGAGGUGAAAUUCGUAGAUAUCGAGAGGAACACCAGUGGCGAAGGCGGCUUCCUGGACAUCAACUGACGCUGAGACGCGAAAGCGUGGGGAGCAAACAGG